GGCAGUGAUUCAGGAAGAUGAAUUAUCUUCAACACGCAGAAGUUCAGUCCUCUGGCAUGAGGCCUGCGACUGUCCGGCUCAGUGUGGGCUGAGCCUCCAGUGCCGAGCACCAGACACUCCACCCUCCUGAGGCACUUGUGCGGAUGCAGAAGACAGUUAUUAACAAGAUGCAUUAAAUAGCAAGAUGGCCAAUGAACAUCAGGAAGGGAACAUCCAUGAGGUUCCAUCCACGGAACCUCACCAUGGAUACGCUUGUGAUCAAGGGCCUGGUCUCCCCUCAAGACACAGUCAGAGAUCAGAGGCCACACCAUCCUAGCAGUGGAGCAGGACCAGCUGGGACAGGGUCCUUCUGUGACACCUGCUGCAUCACCAGCCUAUGUGAAUGGAUUCAGCUGCCAGAACUCACAGAGUAUCAGUAUUAGCACCGAAACCUCACAGGAAAAAUGCUCCACGUUUAGCUCCAUGAACUUCAGACUUAAACAGCAUCACUGGCUCCUGACCAGGAUUCCAGCUCCACAAACCUCAAACUAGAACACCAGCCUGGCUUCUCCACAGGUCUCCAGCUCCAAAACCUAAGACAUCAGUGGCAGUACCUACUCCUCCCAGGGGGCUCCAGCUCUGAGACCCUCAGACUUGAACCGCAGCACCAGCUGUUCCCCAGAUCUCCAGCUCCAUGACCCUCAGACUUAAACAACAGCAGCACCAGCUCAUCCGUGGGUCUAUAUCUCCACGACCCUCAAGCUAGGAAAACAUCAGCUCCUCCCCGGGUCUCCAACCGCACGACCCUCCAACUAGAAACACACCAGCUCCUCCCUCAGUCUCCAGCUCCACAAGCCUCCCACUAGAACAGCAACACCAGCUCCUCCGCGGGUCUCCAGCUUUACAACCUAAGACAUUAGUGGCAGCACCGGCUCCUCCUGGGGGCUCAAGCUCCAAGACCCUCAGACUUGAACCGCAGCACUGGCUCUUCCCUGGAUCUCCAACUCGACGAUCUUCAGACUUAAACAACAGAAGAACCAGCUCCUCCCUGGGUUUCCAGCUCCACGACCCUCAACUGGAACAUCAGCUCCUUCCUGGGUCUCCACCACAACAACCCUCAACUAGAAACACAGCAGCUCCUCCCCGGGUCUCCAGCACCACGACCCUCAACUAGAAACACACCAGCUCCUCCCCAGGUCUCCAGCUCCACGACCCUCAACUAGAAACACGCCAGCUCCUCCCUGGGUCUCCAGCUCCACGACCCUCAACUAGAACAACACCGCUCCAUGCUGUAUCUCCAGAUCCACGACCCUCAACUAGAAAGACACCAGUUCCUCCCCUGGUCUCCAGCUCCAUGACCCUCAACUAGAAACACAGCAGCUCCUCUCCGGGUCUCUAGCUCCAUGACCCUCAACUAGAACAACACCACUCCAUGCUGUAUCUCCAGAUCCACGACCCUCAACUAGAAACACCAACACCGGCUCCUCUGCAGGUCUCUAACUUCUCCCAUAGAUUCCAGCUCCAGGACCCUCAGAUUUGAACCACAGGACAACCUCCUCCCUGGAUCUCCAGCUGCACGACUGUCAAACUAGAACAUCAGCUCCUCCCAGGGUCUCCAGCCGCACGACUCUCAGACUAGAACAUCAGCUCCUCCCAGGGUCUCCAGCCGCACGACUCUCAGACUAGAACAUCAGCUCCUCCCAGGGUCUCCAGCUGCACGACUCUCAGACUAGAACAUCAGCUCCUCCCAGGGUCUCCAGCUGCACGACUCUCAGACUAGAACAUCAGCUCCUCCCAGGGUCUCCAGCUGCAUGACACUCAAACUAUAAAGACAACAGCUCCUCCCUGGGUCUCCAGCUCUACAACUGUCAAACUAGAACACCAUCAGCUCCUCUCCGGGUCUCCAGCUCCACGGCUCUCAAAUUGAAACAACAUCAGCUUCUCCCUGGGUCUCCAGCUGCACAAUCCUCCAACUAGAAAAAACACCAGCUCCUCCCCUGGUCUCCAGCUCCACGACCCUCAAUCUGGAACAUCAGCUCCUCCUCAGGUCUCCAACUACAUGACCCUCAAACUAGAAAAACAGCAGCAAACUAAAAAAAAACUCCCCAGGUUUUUCUAGUUUGAUGGUCGUGCAGCUGGACACCCGGGAAGGAGCUGAUUUUAAUCUAGUUUGAGCAUCGUGGAGCUGGACACCCAGGGAGGAGCUGGUGUUUUUCUAGUUUGAGCGUCAUGGAGCUGGACACCCAGGGAGGAGCUGGUGUUUUUCUAGUUUGAGCGUCGUGGAGCUGGACACCCAGGGAGGAGCUGGUGUUUUUCUAGUUUGAGGGUCGUGGAGCUGGACACCCUUGGGGGUCAGUGUUUUUCUAGUUUGAGGUCAUUUGAGGGUCAG
rnacentral:lncRNA from 1 species